UACGAAGGGGGCUAGCGUUGCUCGGAAUGACUGGGCGUAAAGGGCGCGUAGGCGGCUCAUACAGUCAGGCGUGAAAUUCCUGGGCUCAACCUGGGGACUGCGCUUGAGACGUGUGGGCUUGAGUGGGGAAGAGGGUCGUGGAAUUCCCAGUGUAGAGGUGAAAUUCGUAGAUAUUGGGAAGAACACCGGUGGCGAAGGCGGCGACCUGGUCCUUGACUGACGCUGAGACACGAAAGCGUGGGGAGCAAACAGG
rnacentral:rRNA from 1 species